GCGGCGAACGGGUGAGUAACACGUUGGAACCUACCUUGGACUCAGGGAUAGCCCGCCGAAAGGUGGAUUAAUACCGGAUAGUCCCGCAAGGGUAAAGCUUUUGCGGUCCAAGAGGGGCCUGCGCAGUAUCAGUUAGUUGGUAAGGUAAUGGCUUACCAAGACUACGACGCUUAGCUGGUCUGAGAGGAUAAUCAGCCACAAUGGAACUGAGACACGGUCCAUACUCC
rnacentral:rRNA from 1 species